UACGAGGGGGGCAAGCGUUGUUCGGAAUUAUUGGGCGUAAAGGGUGCGUAGGCGGUUUGGUAAGUCUUAUGUGAAAUAUACAGGCUCAACUUGUAGUCUGCAUGAGAAACUGCCGGGCUUGAGUAUGGGAGAGGUGAGUGGAAUUCCUGGUGUAGCGGUGAAAUGCGUAGAUAUCAGGAGGAACACCUGUGGCGAAAGCGGCUCACUGGACCAUAACUGACGCUGAUGCACGAAAGCGUGGGGAGCAAACAGG
rnacentral:rRNA from 1 species